rnacentral:rRNA from 1 species
AUUGAACGCUGGCGGCAGGCCUAACACAUGCAAGUCGAACGGUAGCACAGAGAGCUUGCUCUCGGGUGACGAGUGGCGGACGGGUGAGUAACGUCUGGGAAACUGCCCGAUGGAGGGGGAUAACUACUGGAAACGGUAGCUAAUACCGCAUAACGUCGCAAGACCAAAGUGGGGGACCUUCGGGCCUCACACCAUCGGAUGUGCCCAGAUGGGAUUAGCUAGUAGGUGGGGUAAUGGCUCACCUAGGCGACGAUCCCUAGCUGGUCUGAGAGGAUGACCAGCCACACUGGAACUGGGACACGGUCCAGACUCCUACGGGAGGCAGCAGUGGGGGAUAUUGCACAAUGGGCGCAAGCCUGAUGCAGCCAUGCCGCGUGUAUGAAGAAGGCCUUCGGGUUGUAAAGUACUUUCAGCGGGGAGGAAGGCGGUGAAGUUAAUAACUUCACCGAUUGACGUUACCCGCAGAAGAAGCACCGGCUAACUCCGUGCCAGCCGCCGCCGUAA